rnacentral:rRNA from 1 species
ACACGACUACAUUAGAUACCCCUGUAGUCCUAGCCGUAAACGAUACUCGCUAGGUGUCGGCCACGGUGCGACCGUUGUCGGUGCCGUAGGGAAGCCGUGAAGCGAGCCACCUGGGAAGUACGGCCGCAAGGCUGAAACUUAAGGAAUUGGCGGGGGAGCACAACAACGGGUGGAGCUUGCGGUUUAAUUGGAUUCAACGCCGAAAUCUUACCGGGACCGACAGCAACAUGAAGGCCAAGCUGAAGACUUUGCCGGAUUAGCUG